UACAGAGGUCUCAAGCGUUGUUCGGAUUCAUUGGGCGUAAAGGGCGCGUAGGUGGCGCUGUAAGUCGGGUGUGAAAUCUCGGGGCUUAACUUCGAAACUGCAUUCGAUACUGCCGUGCUUGAGGACUGGAGAGGAGACUGGAAUUUACGGUGUAGCGGUGAAAUGCGUAGAUAUCGUAAGGAAGACCAGUGGCGAAGGCGGGUCUCUGGACAGUUCCUGACGCUGAGGCACGAAGGUCAGGGGAGCAAACGGG
rnacentral:rRNA from 1 species